GGACUGUCCAUGGCGUAGUGGCAGAGCAUCUAUUUUGAAAGCAGAAGGUCCCAGGUUCAAGUCUUGCCAUCUCCC
rnacentral:tRNA from 1 species